UUAAUUUCAGCAGCACAUAUACUAAAGUUAGAACAAUAUAGAGGAUUAGCAUGGCCUCCGCACAAGAAUGACAUGCAAAUUCAUGAAUCAUUCCAUAUUUUA
rnacentral:snRNA from 1 species